GUCCACGCCGUAAACGAUAAUCACUAGAUGUUAGUCCGGCUUAGCUGGAUUAGUGUCGUAGCUAACGCGUUAAGUGAUUCGCCUGGGGAGUACGGUCGCAAGGCUAAACUUAAAGAAUUGACGGGGUCCGCACAAGCGGUGGAACAUGUGGUUUAAUUCGACACUACGCGAGAAACCUUACCUGGACUUGACAUGUACUCGACAGCCGUAGAAAUAUGGUCUUUUGGGUUUCGAUUCAAACGGGUACACAGGUGCUGCAUGGCUGUCGU
rnacentral:rRNA from 1 species